GACGAACGCUGGCGGCGUGCUUAACACAUGCAAGUCGAACGGAAAGGCCCUGCUUUUGUGGGGUGCUCGAGUGGCGAACGGGUGAGUAACACGUGAGUCACCUGCCCUUGACUUUGGGAUAACUUCAGGAAACUGGGGCUAAUACCGGAUAGGCGCUCCUGCUGCAUGGUGGGGGUUGGAAAGUUUCGGCGGUUGGGGAUGGACUCGCGGCUUAUCAGCUUGUUGGUGGGGUAGUGGCUUACCAAGGCUUUGACGGGUAGCCGGCCUGAGAGGGUGACCGGCCACAUUGGGACUGAGAUACGGCCCAGACUCCUACGGGAGGCAGCAGUGGGGAAUAUUGCACAAUGGGCGGAAGCCUGAUGCAGCAACGCCGCGUGCGGGAUGACGGCCUUCGGGUUGUAAACCGCUUUCGCCUGUGACGAAGCGUGAGUGACGGUAAUCGGUAAAGAAGCACCGGCUAACUACGUG
rnacentral:rRNA from 1 species